UGAUCAUGGCUCAGAUUGAACGCUGGCGGCAGGCCUAACACAUGCAAGUCGAACGGUAACAGGAAGCAGCUUGCUGCUUCGCUGACGAGUGGCGGACGGGUGAGUAAUGUCUGGGAAACUGCCUGAUGGAGGGGGAUAACUACUGGAAACGGUGGCUAAUACCGCAUAACGUCGCAAGACCAAAGAGGGGGACCUUCGGGCCUCUUGCCAUCAGAUGUGCCCAGAUGGGAUUAGCUUGUUGGUGAGGUAACGGCUCACCAAGGCGACGAUCCCUAGCUGGUCUGAGAGGAUGACCAGCCACACUGGAACUGAGACACGGUCCAGACUCCUACGGGAGGCAGCAGUGGGGAAUAUUGCACAAUGGGCGCAAGCCUGAUGCAGCCAUGCCGCGUGUAUGAAGAAGGCCUUCGGGUUGUAAAGUACUUUCAGCGGGGAGGAAGGUGUUGUGGUUAAUAACCGCAGCAAUUGACGUUACCCGCAGAAGAAGCACCGGCUAACUCCGUGCCAGCAGCCGCGGUAAUACGGAGGGUGCAAGCGUUAAUCGGAAUUACUGGGCGUAAAGCGCACGCAGGCGGUCUGUCAAGUCGGAUGUGAAAUCCCCGGGCUCAACCUGGGAACUGCAUUCGAAACUGGCAGGCUUGAGUCUUGUAGAGGGGGGUAGAAUUCCAGGUGUAGCGGUGAAAUGCGUAGAGAUCUGGAGGAAUACCGGUGGCGAAGGCGGCCCCCUGGACAAAGACUGACGCUCAGGUGCGAAAGCGUGGGGAGCAAACAGGAUUAGAUACCCUGGUAGUCCACGCCGUAAACGAUGUCUACUUGGAGGUUGUGCCCUUGAGGCGUGGCUUCCGGAGCUAACGCGUUAAGUAGACCGCCUGGGGAGUACGGCCGCAAGGUUAAAACUCAAAUGAAUUGACGGGGGCCCGCACAAGCGGUGGAGCAUGUGGUUUAAUUCGAUGCAACGCGAAGAACCUUACCUGGUCUUGACAUCCACAGAAGAAUCCAGAGAUGGAUUGGUGCCUUCGGGAACUGUGAGACAGGUGCUGCAUGGCUGUCGUCAGCUCGUGUUGUGAAAUGUUGGGUUAAGUCCCGCAACGAGCGCAACCCUUAUCCUUUGUUGCCAGCGAUUAGGUCGGGAACUCAAAGGAGACUGCCAGUGAUAAACUGGAGGAAGGUGGGGAUGACGUCAAGUCAUCAUGGCCCUUACGACCAGGGCUACACACGUGCUACAAUGGCGCAUACAAAGAGAAGCGACCUCGCGAGAGCAAGCGGACCUCAUAAAGUGCGUCGUAGUCCGGAUUGGAGUCUGCAACUCGACUCCAUGAAGUCGGAAUCGCUAGUAAUCGUGGAUCAGAAUGCCACGGUGAAUACGUUCCCGGGCCUUGUACACACCGCCCGUCACACCAUGGGAGUGGGUUGCAAAAGAAGUAGGUAGCUUAACCUUCGGGAGGGCGCUUACCACUUUGUGAUUCAUGACUGGGGUGAAGUCGUAACAAGGUAACCGUAGGGGAACCUGCGGUUGGAUCACCUCCUUACCUUAAAGAAGC
rnacentral:rRNA from 1 species